rnacentral:rRNA from 1 species
GACGAACGCUUUUUGCGUGCUUAACACAUGCAAGUCGAACGGAAAGGCCCUGCUUUUGUGGGGUGCUCGAGUGGCGAACGGGUGAUUAACACGUGAGUAACCUGCCCUUGACUUUGGGAUAACUUCAGGAAACUGGGGCUAAUACCGGAUAGGAGCUCCUGCUGCAUGGUGGGGGUUGGAAAGUUUCGGCGGUUGGGGAUGGACUCGCGGCUUAUCAGCUUGUUGGUGGGGUAGUGGCUUACCAAGGCUUUGACGGGUAGCCGGCCUGAGAGGGUGACCGGCCACAUUGGGACUGAGAUACGGCCCAGACUCCUACGGGAGGCAGCAGUGGGGAAUAUUGCACAAUGGGCGGAAGCCUGAUGCAGCAACGCCGCGUGCGGGAUGACGGCCUUCGGGUUGUAAACCGCUUUCGCCUGUGACGAAGCGUGAGUGACGGUAAUGGGUAAAGAAGCACCGGCUAACUACGUGCCAGCAGCCGCGGUGAUACGUAGGGAGCGAGCGUUGUCCGGAUUUAUUGGGCGUAAAGGGCUCGUAGGUGGUUGAUCGCGUCGGAAGUGUAAUCUUGGGGCUUAACCCUGAGCGUGCUUUCGAUACGGGUUGACUUGAGGAAGGUAGGGGAGAAUGGAAUUCCUGGUGGAGCGGUGGAAUGCGCAGAUAUCAGGAGGAACACCAGUGGCGAAGGCGGUUCUCUGGGCCUUUCCUGACGCUGAGGAGCGAAAGCGUGGGGAGCGAACAGGCUUAGAUACCCUGGUAGUCCACGCUGUAAACGGUGGGUACUAGGUGUGGGGUCCAUUCCACGGGUUCCGUGCCGUAGCUAACGCUUUAAGUACCCCGCCUGGGGAGUACGGCCGCAAGGCUAAAACUCAAAGGAAUUGACGGGGCCCCGCACAAGCGGCGGAGCAUGCGGAUUAAUUCGAUGCAACGCGUAGAACCUUACCUGGGUUUGACAUGGAUCGGGAGUGCUCAGAGAUGGGUGUGCCUCUUUUGGGGUCGGUUCACAGGUGGUGCAUGGCUGUCGUCAGCUCGUGUCGUGAGAUGUUGGGUUAAGUCCCGCAACGAGCGCAACCCUUGUUCACUGUUGCCAGCACGUUAUGGUGGGGACUCAGUGGAGACCGCCGGGGUCAACUCGGAGGAAGGUGGGGAUGACGUCAAGUCAUCAUGCCCCUUAUGUCCAGGGCUUCACGCAUGCUACAAUGGCUGGUACAGAGAGUGGCGAGCCUGUGAGGGUGAGCGAAUCUCGGAAAGCCGGUCUCAGUUCGGAUUGGGGUCUGCAACUCUACCUCAUGAAGUCGGAGUCGCUAGUAAUCGCAGAUCAGCAACGCUGCGGUGAAUACGUUCCCGGGGCU